rnacentral:pre_miRNA from 1 species
UAAGUUGGAUUUGAUAUGCGCAAAAAGAAUAUUAAUCGACUUUGUUAAUGUUCACUCGAUUAAUUUCCUUUUACGCUUAUUAAUCAACU